UACAGAGGGGGCAAGCGUUGUUCGGAAUUACUGGGCGUAAAGGGCGCGUAGGCGGCCUGUUAAGUCGAACGUGAAAUCCCCGGGCUCAACCCGGGAACUGCGUCCGAUACUGGCAGGCUUGAAUCCGGGAGAGGGAUGCGGAAUUCCAGGUGUAGCGGUGAAAUGCGUAGAUAUCUGGAGGAACACCGGUGGCGAAGGCGGCAUCCUGGACCGGCAUUGACGCUGAGGCGCGAAAGACAGGGGAGCAAACGGG
rnacentral:rRNA from 1 species